GUAGCAGGACCAUCCACUGAAUCUUAUGGAAUCUCAUAUAGAUAUUGCAAAGCAUCUGGUUAAUUGUUAUGAUAAGAAAAUGAAAAAUAGUCAUGUCCUAGUUUAUUUGUUUUGGAAGUUGGUUUUGAAAAACAGACUUUUGACCAAUAUGAAACAAGUAGUUGAGAACUAAGCAAACUCAGUAAGUAUUAUUAUGAAGAGUCAAAAAUUUGCAUUUAGAAGUAACUAUUCAUAAUUACAAACCUGAUAAGCAAAUGGGAGGGCAAACCACUAUCUAUGGAGGAAGCAGGAAACUCGAAAUCCAAUCGUUAGAUGUGAAUGUCUCCAAAAGUAUCCCACAUAGCAAAGGAUGAGGUUUACAUUUAGAAAGUUAGAAAGCAUAAAUGUCAGCCAAGAAGAACACGACUUGAGAAGACAAGACAGAUUUAUUGAUAGAACCAAACAUCGCAGAUCGAGCAAGAAAGGAAACGUGACAGAAGAAUCUCGCGUGACAGAAGAAUCCCAGGUAUUUUGCAACGUGCAGCAUGGAAAACGUGGGUACUUGAUCAACAAGCCAUUCCUCUAGAAUCGGUCAAAGCUAUCUCUUUUAUUUUGAUUUCCUGUUUUUGACUUUUUAGCUUCUAACCAUUGUGGUUGCGAUUAUGGCGCGACUACAGCUCGUGAUUCCUGGGUAGCAGGAAGAAGUUGAUGUCGUUCCUCUAUUUAAAGCAUUCUCCGAGUAUGAAUAAGGGAUAUGAUCUUUGACAGUAAAUAUUUGUGGUAAUUUUAGCCCUAAAUAGAAGUAAAUUAUUUUUCAAUUCUUUUUGGUUCUGAUUGGGACCUAACAUUUGGUAUCAGAGUCAUGUCUAACAAAGAGAUGAUUGAACAAUUAGAAGCCAACAUCGGGAGACUGCAAGACAGCUUCAGCCUAAUAGAGUUGGGAGUCGCCGAUAAACUUCAACAAACGGAGGACACCCUCAAGCGGUUGACGGACACUCUUUUAAUAAACCGUGAAAGGUUCAAUAGCAACACACCAAGUUGACCCGGAUUGAUGCGGCCACUCCAUGACAAUGGAACCGAAAGGGACGACGGGGGUUGUCAGCCCUUUUUCUCGAGGCUCGCAAAGCUUGAGUUCCCCAUCUUUGCCUGUGACGAUCAUGGCUAAAUGACUCAACCGCGUCGAGAAAUUCUUUGACUACCAAGGCAUUCCUGAUGAGCAGAAGGUGCAACUAGCUUCUUUCCACCUAAAGGGUGAAGGCAAUCAGUGGUGACAAUGACUUCACUGAACUUACAGAGAAGAAGGAAAGAUGGUGACUUAGGUUGGGUUUGAAGAAGAGAUAUGGGCCCGUUUCGGGCCAACUGAUUAUGAAGAUUUUGAUGAGGAGCCCCUAAGGGAAUACCAAAAGGAAUUUGAAAGGCUAGGGAAGAAGGUUCACGGUUGGACCCAGAAGACUUUAAUUGGAAUCUUCAUGGGCGGGCUUUAGCCCAAGAUAACAGAUGGGAUAAAGAUGUUCAAGCUCAGGACCCUGAAAGAUGCAAUAAGUCUAGCCUGUAUGCGCGAGGACCAUUUAGGCCAUCAAGGUAGGCUGGACUGGGCGAGGCGAACUUAACCCAACCCACAAGCAUGCUCCCUAUCUAACCAGACCCACGAGCUCUAGCAGCAACAGUCGCUGCUCCUAAGUGGUUAUCCUAGGAAGAAACACAGUGCCGGCGAGUACAAGGUCUGUGCUUCCACUGUGACGAAAAGUUUACUUUCGACCAUAGAUGUCGCCGAUCCCAACUAUUACUUCUAUAAGGCGACGAGAGAAAGAAGAUGUUGAACCUGUAAAGCCUGGCUGAACGGAGAGACCAAUGGUACCUGAACCUUGAGGACAAGGUUUUAAAAAGAGGGAGAUAAUGAUAGAACCAAAUGCCACAGAUCAAGGGAAGAAAGGGAAACUUGACAAAAAAAUCUCAAGUACUUCGUAGCAUGCAGCAUGGAAAACGUAGAAGCCAAUGUCGGGGGACUGCACAAAAGCUUCAACCGAAUGGAGUUUGGAGUCACCGAUAAGCUUCACCAAAUAGAGAACACCCUUAAGCGGUUGACGGAUACUCUGUUGACAAAUAGCAAAUGGUCUAACAACAUCACUCCAAGUCGACCCGAACUAACAUGACCACUUUGUGAUGAUGGAACCAAAAAAAAUGACGGGGGCUGUCAGCCAUUUUUCUCGAAGCUUGCAAAGCUUGAGUUCUCCAUUUUGCCGAUGACAACCCUGGUCGAAUGACUCAACCGCAUUAAACAAUUCUUCAACUACCAAGACAUUCCUGAUGAGGAAAAGGUGUAGCUAACUUCUUUCCACCUAGAGGGUGAAACCAAUCAGUGAUAGCAAUGACUCCACAGAACUUACAGAAAAGAAGGGAAGAUGGUGAUUAGGGCUAGUUUGAAGAAGAGAUAUGGGCACGUUUCUGGCCAACUGAUUACGAAGGUUUUGAUGAGGCCUUAACGAGGGUAAAGUAAAUCGAGCCUUUAAGGAAAUAACAAAAACAAUUUGAAAGGUUGGGGAACAAGGUUUGCGGUUGGACCCAGAAGGCUUUAAUUGGAAUCUUCAUGAGUGGGCUUCAGCCCGAUAUGAUAUAUGAGAUAAGGAUAUUCAAGCCCAGGAUCCUAAAGGAUGCAGUAAGUUUGGCUUGCAUGCACAAGGAGCAAUUGGGCUGUCAAGGUAGGCUGGACCAGGUGGGGGCAGACUCAACCCAACCCACAAGCGCGCUCCCUAUUUAACCAGACCCCAUUAGCUCUAGCAGCAACAUUCGCUACUCCCAAGCGGUUAUCUUGGGAAGAAGCACAGUGUCGGCGAGCACAAGGUAUGUACUUCCACUGCGAUGAAAAGUUUACUUUCGACCAUAGAUGUUAUCAAUCCCAACUAUUACUUCUAGAAGGCGACGAAGAAAAAGAAGAUGCCGAAUCUGCUAAGCCUGGCUGAAUAGAGAGACGAAAGGUACCUGCACCUUGAGGACAAAGUUUUAAAAAGAGGGACACAAUGAUAGAACUAAAUACCGCAUAUCAAGGGAAGAAAGGGAAACGUGAUAGAAGAAUCUCAGGUAUUUCGCAGCAUGCAACAUAGAAAACGUGGGUAAUUAAUCAACAAGUCAUUCCUCCUCCAGAAUCAGUCAAAGUUAUCUCUUUUAUUUUGAUUUUCUAUUUUUAAUUUCUUAUCUUCUAGUCGUUAUAUGGCUACGAUUGUAGCGUCAUUGCAGUUCGUGCUUCCUGGGUAGCAGGAAGAAGUUGAUGUAGUUCCUCUAUUUAAAACAUUCUCCAAGUAUGAAUAAGGGAUAUGGUUUUUGACAGCAAAUAUCUGUGGUAAUUCUAGCCCUAAAUAGAAGUAAAUUUUUUUUCAAUUCUUCUUGGUUCUGACUGGGACCUAAUAUUUAGUAUCCGAGUUAUGUCUAAUAAGGAGAUGAUUGAACAAUUGGAAGCCAGUGUCGGGGGACUGCAAGACAACUUUAAUCGAAUUGAGUUAGGAGUUGCCGAUAAGUUUUACCAAAUGGAGGACAUCCUCAAGUGAUUGACGGACACUUUGUUGAUAAACCGCAAAGGAUCUAACAACAACACUCUAAAUUGAUCUGGACUGAUGCGACUACUCCGCGAUGAUGGAAUCGAAAGGAACGACAAGUGCCAUCAGCCCUUUUUCUCCAAGCUCGCAAAGCUUGAGUUCUCCAUCUUUGCCGGUGAGAACCCUAACCGAAUGACUCAGCCGCGUCGAGUAAUUCUUCGACUACCAAGGCAUUCCUGAUGAACAGAAAGUGCAGCUUGCUUCUUUCUAUCUAGAGGGUGAAGCCAACUAGUGGUGGCAAUAACUUCACCAAAUUUACAGAGAAGAAGGGAAGAUGGUGACUUGAGCUGGGUUUGAAGAAGAUAUAUGGGCCUAUUUCGGGCCAAUUGAUUGUGAAGAUUUUGAUGAGGCCUUAAUAAGGUUGAAACAGAUCGAGCCCUUAAGGGAAUACCAAAAGGAAUUUGAAAGGCUGGGGAGCAAGGUUCGCAGUUAAACCCAGAAGGCUUUAAUUAGAACUUUCAUUGGCGGACUUCAACCCAGGAACCUGAAGGAUGCAAUAAGUCUAGCCUGCAUGCGCGAUGAGCAGUUGGGCCGUCAAGGUAGGCUGGACUAGGUGGGGCAGACCCAACCCAACCCACAAGCAUGCUCCCUAUCUAACCAAACCCCACGAGCUCUAGCAGCAACAAUCACCACUCCCAAGGGUUAUCAUAGGAAGAAGCACAAUGUCAGCGAGUACAAGGUCUGUGCUUCCAUUGUGACGAAAAGUUUACAUUCGAUCACAGAUGUCGCCGAUCCCAACUAUUACUUCUAGAAGGCGACGAAGAGAAAUAAGAUGUCGAACCUGUGAAGUUUGGCUAAACGGAGAGACCAAGGGUACCUAAACCUUAAGGACAAAGUUCUAAAAAAGGGGGAGGCAAUGAUAGAACAAAACACCACAGAUCAAGGGAAGAAAGGGAAACAUGACAGAAAAAUUUCAGGUAUUUCGCAGCAUGCAACAUGAAAAACGUAGGUAAUUGAUCAAUAAGCCAUUCCUUCAGAAUCGGUCAAAGCUAUCUCUUUUAUUUUAAUUUUCUGUUUUUGAUUUCUUAUCUUUUAGUCGUUGUGGUUGUGAUUAUGGCAUCACUGCAGCUCAUGCUUCCUGGGUAGCAGGAAAAAGUUGAUGUAGUUCCUCUCUUUAAAGCAUUCUUUGAGUACGAAUAAGGGAUAUGAUUUUUGAGAGCAAA